CAUGCCAUAUUCUUCUAACUGUUUCUCUUCAUGUGAUUUGGCUGUGUCCAAAGCUACAGAUCCUAUUGCAGCCUAUAAAAAUUUAAAGGACUCCUGAGUUUUAGCUGGUCUCAUUGCUGUCCAAGUAGACACUUUCCCCCCAGCUUUCUUUGCAACAAGAUGAAGCUAUGUAUCUAAGGCCACCAAGAGAGAUAAGAACAUUUCAAGAUUCAGAAGAUCUAAAUUAUAUCAGGGAAAAAAGUCCCAUGACUAUAAAGGUCAGCAGAAGCAGCACUGGAUUUGAAAAUAGAUGAAAAAAAUGCACAAAGAGGC